rnacentral:rRNA from 1 species
UGCCAGCCGCCGCGGUAAUACGGAGGGUGCAAGCGUUAAUCGGAAUUACUGGGCGUAAAGCGCGCGUAGGCGGCUUUGUAAGACAGACGUGAAAGCCCCGGGCUCAACCUGGGAAUUGCGUUUAAUACUGGUGAGCUAGAGUACGAGAGAGGAAAGUGGAAUUCCUAGUGUAGAGGUGAAAUUCGUAGAUAUUAGGAAGAACACCAGUGGCGAAGGCGACUUUCUGGCUCGUAACUGACGCUGAGGCACGAAAGCGUGGGGAGCAAACAGGAUUAGAUA